rnacentral:lncRNA from 1 species
GAGAGAGAGAGAUUGCAACUUACGAAGUGGGGUAGUGACGGAUUUGGGAGGAUCCUCCAUUUUGGAGGACGAUGUCUUGAUUGGAGAAACGAUUUGGAGAAGGGUGUCUGUGAUUUUGGCUUAAAUCUCCAUUACUGCAUGAUAUAUUGGACGAUCCGGAGAGAGAUACAAAUAGAGAGAUAGAGAGUACAAUUGGAGAGAUAGAGAGUUCGAUGGAGUAAAAAACUAGCCGGUCAGGCGUCGAACCGAACCCGCCGAUUUUGAUUUAGCCGAACUGGAUUUGUGUUAAAACUGCAUUUUUUUUUUUUUUGGCAAAACACGGGGAAAACGAAAUAACGGCAGUUUUUUGAUAUGGAGCACGUUAUUCGCAGUAGGAACCGUGAAUUAAUUUUUUUUGCUUUUUUUUAUUCGAUUUAAUUGCCAUUUUUUUGACGGUUUUG